UAGUCCUGACCGGAAACCUGGAGGCCAA
rnacentral:sRNA from 1 species